CGGUGAGGUAGAGGUGCAGACGUCAUUAGUAAUCAAUGGGAGCCAGGCAAGCUAGGAUCAUUGAGGAAAGGGAUGAGUUUCUGCCGAAGUGUACGAUAGUGUUGUCAGACUAUCCUAUGCUGGUGUAUAUCUGAAGAAGAGACACACUGUCAUGCAUGCUCUUUUGGGUGCAUGGGGCGCUACUGAUCGA
rnacentral:ncRNA from 2 species